UCUAAGGAGACUGCCGGUGACAAACCGGAGGAAGUGGGGAUGACGUCAAGUCAUCAUGGCCCUUACGGCCUGGGCUACACACGUGCUACAAUGGUCGGUACAAAGGGUUGCCAAGCCGCGAGGUGGAAGCUAAUCCCAUAAACCGAUCGUAGUCCGGAUCGCAGUCUGCAACUCGACUGCGUGAAGUCGGAAUCGCUAGUAAUCGUGAAUCAGAAUGUCACGGUGAAUACGUUCCCGGGCCUU
rnacentral:rRNA from 1 species